GAACGCUAGCGGCAGGCUUAAUACAUGCAAGUCGUGGGGGCAGCAUGAGUAGCAAUACUUGAUGGCGACCGGCAAACGGGUGAGGAACACGUACACAACCUUCCUUCAAGCGGGGAAUAGCCCAGAGAAAUUUGGAUUAAUACCCCAUAAUAUAUUUGAUAAGGCAUCUUAUUAAUAUUAAAGCUUCGGCACUUGAUGAUGGGUGUGCGGCUGAUUAGAUAGUUGGCGGGGUAACGGCCCACCAAGUCUACGAUCAGUAGCUGAUGUGAGAGCAUGAUCAGCCACACGGGCACUGAGACACGGGCCCGACUCCUACGGGAGGCAGCAGUAAGGAAUAUUGGACAAUGGACGAAAGUCUGAUCCAGCCAUGCCGCGUGAAGGAUUAAGGUCCUCUGGAUUGUAAACUUCUUUUAUAUGGGACGAAAAAGGGCAUUCUUGUUCACUUGACGGUACCAUAUGAAUAAGCACCGGCUAACUCCGUG
rnacentral:rRNA from 1 species